rnacentral:rRNA from 1 species
UACGGAGGGGGCUAGCGUUGUUCGGAAUUACUGGGCGUAAAGCGCGCGUAGGCGGAUCUGCAAGUCGGGGGGUGAAAUCCCGAGGCUCAACCUCGGAACUGCCUUCGAUACUGCGGGUCUCGAGUCCGGGAGAGGUGAGUGGAACUGCGAGUGUAGAGGUGAAAUUCGUAGAUAUUCGCAAGAACACCAGUGGCGAAGGCGGCUCACUGGCCCGGAACUGACGCUGAGGUGCGAAAAGCGUGGGGAGCAAACAGG